CUGAGAUGCUAAAAAGAAAGGUAUGGGGCAGGUGGCAGCACUGGAGAAGCCAAAACACCCAGAAGAUGGAAAGCAGCUGUGGCCUGUGAGUAAAGAUGAGGUGGAACAGAUUCAAACCCUGAACCUUACAAAUUUGGUGAGGACUUUUGGUACUGAAAAAACAAUAACAUUCUGCCACAGCAAGUGCCUUUUGACCUCUGUAGACUUAAACUGGUCUGUAAGGUGACUUAGUGGUGACCAGAGCUGGAAAAUGCUCUUCCACCACACCUGAAUCAAGAAAGCAGCUGUGAUAAGUAUAAAAUGUAUAAAAUUUUGGCUGGCUAAUAAAAGAUGGAACAUGUAAGUAAAAAAUCUAAAAUUCCAGAAAUAGCAAUUUGCAGUUUCUGAAGGUCUGAGCUGGGACAACAUUGUGGCUCUCCAUGCUUUGCUCAGUGCUGCAUGUUUCUCUUUUGUCCAGAUUUGGCUGAGGAGUGGACAAGACAAAGCUGUCUAUUCAUUCUUUAUAAUGUCUUUUUUCCACUUCUCAUGAUACAGUGAUUUCCUCAGCUAUGCUAAGUGGUCAUCACUUCAAGCGCCUGGUUUCUUACACUUUCCAGCGGAGAUGUGAGCAAGCAAGUAGAAAGCCAGCAGGAAGAAAAGGCAAUGCACGAGGCGUAUCACCAACAGUUUGUUUCAGAAGCUCAGUAGAGCAGAAUCUGUUAAUGCAACUGGAAAACUUCUUAGAGGGAAAGAAAUAAUUUUGAUAUGCUUUAACUAGCCGUUGGAAGGGAGUGGACUUGAAAAAUAAAUAGAAAAAAAAAAGAAAAAAGAAAAAUUAUACUUGCACUUUUUACAAAUAUGCUAUUUCCCACUGCGGGGAAAAGGCAAGUUUUGCUCCUCUUCUGGGCUUGUAUGUGAGCUCAUCACCUGGCUGUCAUCUGGCCCACACCACCCAGCAUGUGCAAUGUAGUGGGGUUGGAACAGGGCCGGGGUAGAACAGCAUCUCAUUCUUCCUAAAGGCUUAGUUAUCCCAUUUCCU